rnacentral:tRNA from 1 species
GUUUGUGGCUCAGUGGUAGAGCACUUGCCUAAUACAUAUGAAGCUCUGAGUUCAAUUCUCAGCACUGAAUA